rnacentral:rRNA from 1 species
GGCUUUUUGUGUUUUAGAUGAAAAGUCCAGCCUGCCCGGUGGGGUACGCCUUAAACGGCUGCGGUAAUAUGUGCUAAGGUAGCUUAAUUUCCUUGCCCUUUAAUUGUGGGCCAUGUGAAUGGCUAGACGAGGGCUAAGCUGUCUCAGUUUUAGUGAUGUGAAAAUGGAGUGUAAGUGAAAAUUCUUGCAUGGCGUAGAAGGAAGAGAAGACCCCGUGGAACUUUAGUAUAGUUUGAGAGGAUGGUCGGUUAAUUUUGUUUUGGGGUGUUUUUUUAGUGUGUAUUUAAGCUGGGGCAGCUAUAUGAGAGAAGUAUAUCAUAGAGAAGGGUUUAGGCAUGCUUGCUAUUAGGAUCCACUGUUUGUGAUUUUUAGGAAUAAGUUACCCCGGGGGUAACAGACUAAUUUCGCUUUGAGAGAACUUAUUGAUGAGCGGGUUUGGCACCUCGAUGUUGGUUUAGGAUGUCCUAGAGAUGUAGCGGUCUCUAAGGGUUGGUCUGUUCGCCCAUUAAAAUCCU